AACGUAGGUGGCGAGCGUUAUCCGGAUUCACUGGGCGUAAAGGGCCUGCAGGCGGCUCUGUAAGUGGGAUGUGAAAUCUCCUGGCUCAACUGGGAGGGGUCAUUCCAUACUGCGGGGCUGGAGGGCAGAAGAGGGAAGUGGAAUUCCCGGUGUAGUGGUGAAAUGCGUAGAUAUCGGGAGGAACACCAGUGGCGAAGGCGACUUCCUGGUCUGCACCUGACGCUAAGAGGCGAAAGCUAGGGGAGCGAACGGG
rnacentral:rRNA from 1 species